rnacentral:rRNA from 1 species
GAUAAGCUCGGAAGCAGCUAUUCCUUAAAGAAAGCGUAACAGCUCAUUAGAAAUUAUUAUAUGUUGAAAUUUAUAUAAUUUAAUUUUUUUUCAAUAAUGUAUAGGCAAUAAAUUAUUAACCGAAAUUACGAAAACUUUUAGUUUGGUAGUAGAGUGCGGUGUAUUUUAAUGAAGAAAAAUUGUAAAAUUUUUUGGAAAAAUCACUGGCAAUUAUGUUAGCAUGAGUAGCGUUAAAUAAUGUUAAGUCAUUAUCGUUGAAAACUUAAGUAUUUCAUUAAUAGGGAAAACCUU